UCCUCGAUAGCUCAGUCGGUAGAGCACUCGGCUGUUAACCGCGCUGUCGUAGGUUCGAGUCCUACUCGGGGAG
rnacentral:tRNA from 1 species